AGCGGCGGACGGGUGAGUAAUGCCUGGGAAUAUGCCCUGAUGUGGGGGAUAACUAUUGGAAACGAUAGCUAAUACCGCAUAAUCUCUUCGGAGCAAAGAGGGGGCCCUUCGGGCCUCUCGCGUCAGGAUUAGCCCAGGUGGGAUUAGCUUGUUGGUGAGGUAAUGGCUCACCAAGGCAACGAUCCCUAGCUGGUCUGAGAGGAUGAUCAGCCACACUGGAACUGAGACACGGUCCAGACUCCUACGGGAGGCAGCAGUGGGGAAUAUUGCACAAUGGGGGAAACCCUGAUGCAGCCAUGCCGCGUGUGUGAAGAAGGCCUUCGGGUUGUAAAGCACUUUCAGUAGGGAGGAAGGUAGUGUAGUUAACACCUGCAUUAUUUGACGUUACCUACAGAAGAAGCACCGGCUAACUCCGUGCCAGCAGCCGCGGUAAUACGGAGGGUGCGAGCGUUAAUCGGAAUUACUGGGCGUAAAGCGCAUGCAGGCGGCCUGUUAAGUCAGAUGUGAAAGCCCGGGGCUUAACCUCGGAAUUGCAUUUGAAACUGGCAGG
rnacentral:rRNA from 1 species